rnacentral:RNase_P_RNA from 1 species
UUAGCAGAUCGUUCUACCGCAUUGUUUAUACAAUGAGGAAAGUCCGGGCACCGCAGAGCACCAUUUUUCCUAACAGGAAGGUAUCCGUAAGGGUACAGUAACGUAACAGAAAAUAACCGUCGUGCUGGUUAACCAGUAUGAUAAGGGUGAAAAGGUGGGGUAAGAGCCCACCGGUCUCGCUGGCAACAACGAGAGCCGUACGUCUAAUGGGGUGCAAGACCAUGUACAUCGUAAUUAGUUGUGAAAACAAUUUACAGAGCUGCUCGCUUUGAUUUCUUUAGAAAAUUACGAGGGGUGGGUCGCAUGAGCUACCCGGUGACGGGUAGCCUAGAUAAAUGGUAGAAACUUUAGGUUAGCCUAAAGCACAGAACCCGGCUUAUAGAUCUGCUUUUCUU